GCCAGGGAGUAUGCCUCUUUGAGCAUCGUUUCUACCCAACCUCGUUAGCUUUUUUGUAAUGAAAAAGCGAGCGGAUAAUGCGCUUCUCGCUGGAAACAGGGAGUGGCGUUAAGAAGAGCGAGCUCUUUUCAUAGUGUUAGACCCGCAAGGGGCGCCUUAUAGUUUAUAUUAGGUUAUCACUUGGAUGUAGAUAAAUUUAUUUAUAUGACAUUCAAUAUAAAAUCUAAUCGAAUUACUAGGCUAAGAUACUUAGAAUAUGAGUUUCGAUGAAAAUUAACUUGAUAAUUUAUUUAUCAUUUUGAAUUAGAUCUCAAAUGAAGCAAGAUUACCCGCUGAACUUAAGCAUAUUAUUAAGCGGAGGAAAAGAAACUAACAAGGAUGCCCUCAGUAACGGCGAGUGAAGCGGGCAAAGCUCAACCUGAAAAUCGGAUUCCUUAGCGGGAUUUCGAAUUGUGGGCUACAGACGCGUAAUCAGUGUGUGACCCAGGUAUAAAUCUCUUUGAAACGAGGUAUCAUAGAGGGUGAGAAUCCCGUCUGUGACUUGGAGUUCGCCGCGUACGAUUCGUGUU
rnacentral:rRNA from 1 species